rnacentral:rRNA from 1 species
AGGCAGGAAUCCCUUUGGGGAGAUGUGGCCUAAGGAGUGUGUUGCUGUAAGCCGGUCAACGAAUCAAGUCCCUUGGAAUAGGGCACCAGAGAGGGUGAUAGUCCCGUCCCUUGUUGACUGAACGGUUUCGUUAUGCAUCAUGCUUCGUGAGUCGGGUUGUUUGGGAAUGCAGCCCUAAUCGGGAGGUACGCACCUUCCAAGGCUAAAUAUUCAGGCGAGAGACCGAUAGCGAACAAGUACCGUGAGGGAAAGUUGAAAAGUACUCUGGAGAGAGAGUGAAAAGCGCGUGAAACCAUUAGUAGGGAACCGCUUGCACGGUGCACUGAGCAUUAUUGGCUUCGGCCGGUUUUGCCGCUCAACACCAGUUUGGCUUGCCGGAAAAAGGAGUGUGAAAGGUAGCUGCGCCUUCGGGGGCAGUGUUAUAGACACGCUUCAUAUACGGUGGGCCGGACUGAGGACUGCGACAACCUUUUGGGCGCUAGGCUGGGUAGGCCAGUGGUCUAGACUGUGUGGACAGCUUGCUGACCUCAUGGGACUAUGGCCGCUGCUCUUGCUCUUUUCUAGUGUAUUGUCAAGGGUGGUUGAGAAGCGCUGAACAAGCGACCCGUCUUGAAACACGGACCAAGGAGUCUAACUUAUGUGCGAGUUAUUGGGUUGCUAAACCCACUAGCGUAAUGAAAGUGAGAACUUCGUUCCUGGUACGAACCACUCUGUGGUGCAGUAUCCACCGGCGUGUUGCUCUUUAGGGUAACACGACUGAGUGCGAGCACAUAGGCUAGGACCCGAAAGAUGGUGAACUAUACUUGGGUAGGGCGAAGCCAGGGGAAACCCUGGUGGAGGCUCGCAGCGGUUCUGA